rnacentral:lncRNA from 1 species
AAGGAAUAAAGUUAUAAAAUACCUAAUUUUGCGUGUGUAGAAGAAGAGAAAAUGAUGUUUUUUUUUAAAAGAAACAAAUUUAAUGUAUAUGAAUAUUAUGGGUCUACACAAAUGAACUAGUUGUCAAAACGAGUCAUCUGGUCCGGUCCACCAUGGGUUGAUCACUUAGUGAGUCAACCCAACUUGGUUCAUUUAUUAGCGAGUCAGAAAAAUUUGAACCCGG